UUUGUGUGCAUAUGUCCUUGGACUGAUUGAGCAACGUUCAGGCCUUUGGUUCUCCUAAGCCCAAGGAGGAGGAGAUGCCACCCAGUCAGGCUGUGCUCAUGCUUCCUUUGAUGCUAACGCCAGCAAAGCUCAACUCAUAUGGGGAAAAACCUAACACAGCCACUGAACAUUGCUUUCUCAUGGAUUUGUGAAAGAACGACUGACAGGAGAUACCAUCAUUGCAAAAGGAACUAUUAACUUAGACACAGAUGGAUAGUUCUUCAUGAGUAAGUUUUUUUUUUUUUUAACAAUAGCUUAAGGAAUGUGUUCUUUUUCAAAAGGGUACAUUGAAGUAUUUCUGCAAAUUUGCAUUUGGCAGGAGGCCAGUUUUAUAUGAUAUUUUUAAAAAGAUGGUAUGUUCUUUUUGCAA
rnacentral:lncRNA from 1 species